rnacentral:rRNA from 1 species
UACGGGGGGGGCAAGCGUUGUUCGGAAUGACUGGGCGUAAAGGGCACGUAGGCGGUGAAUCGGGUUGAAAGUGAAAGUCGCCAAAAACUGGCGGAAUGCUCUCGAAACCCAUUAACUUGAGUGAGACAGAGGAGAGUGGAAUUUCGUGUGUAGGGGUGAAAUCCGGAGAUCUACGAAGGAACGCCAAAAGCGAAGGCAGCUCUCUGGGUCCCUACCGACGCUGGGGUGCGAAAGCGUGGGGAGCAAACAGG